GAUGAACGCUGGCGGCGUGCCUAAUACAUGCAAGUCGAGCGAACAGACAAGGAGCUUGCUCCUUUGACGUUAGCGGCGGACGGGUGAGUAACACGUGGGUAACCUACCUAUAAGACUGGGAUAACUUCGGGAAACCGGAGCUAAUACCGGAUAAUAUUUCGAACCGCAUGGUUCGAUAGUGAAAGAUGGUUUUGCUAUCACUUAUAGAUGGACCCGCGCCGUAUUAGCUAGUUGGUAAGGUAACGGCUUACCAAGGCGACGAUACGUAGCCGACCUGAGAGGGUGAUCGGCCACACUGGAACUGAGACACGGUCCAGACUCCUACGGGAGGCAGCAGUAGGGAAUCUUCCGCAAUGGGCGAAAGCCUGACGGAGCAACGCCGCGUGAGUGAUGAAGGUCUUCGGAUCGUAAAACUCUGUUAUUAGGGAAGAACAUACAUGUAAGUAACUAUGCACGUCUUGACGGUACCUAAUCAGAAAGCCACGGCUAACUACGUGCCAGCAGCCGCGGUAAUACGUAGGUGGCAAGCGUUAUCCGGAAUUAUUGGGCGUAAAGCGCGCGUAGGCGGUUUUUUAAGUCUGAUGUGAAAGCCCACGGCUCAACCGUGGAGGGUCAUUGGAAACUGGAAAACUUGAGUGCAGAAGAGGAAAGUGGAAUUCCAUGUGUAGCGGUGAAAUGCGCAGAGAUAUGGAGGAACACCAGUGGCGAAGGCGACUUUCUGGUCUGUAACUGACGCUGAUGUGCGAAAGCGUGGGGAUCAAACAGGAUUAGAUACCCUGGUAGUCCACGCCGUAAACGAUGAGUGCUAAGUGUUAGGGGGUUUCCGCCCCUUAGUGCUGCAGCUAACGCAUUAAGCACUCCGCCUGGGGAGUACGACCGCAAGGUUGAAACUCAAAGGAAUUGACGGGGACCCGCACAAGCGGUGGAGUAUGUGGUUUAAUUCGAAGCAACGCGAAGAACCUUACCAAAUCUUGACAUCCUUUGACAACUCUAGAGAUAGAGCCUUCCCCUUCGGGGGACAAAGUGACAGGUGGUGCAUGGUUGUCGUCAGCUCGUGUCGUGAGAUGUUGGGUUAAGUCCCGCAACGAGCGCAACCCUUAAGCUUAGUUGCCAUCAUUAAGUUGGGCACUCUAAGUUGACUGCCGGUGACAAACCGGAGGAAGGUGGGGAUGACGUCAAAUCAUCAUGCCCCUUAUGAUUUGGGCUACACACGUGCUACAAUGGACAAUACAAAGGGCAGCGAAACCGCGAGGUCAAGCAAAUCCCAUAAAGUUGUUCUCAGUUCGGAUUGUAGUCUGCAACUCGACUACAUGAAGCUGGAAUCGCUAGUAAUCGUAGAUCAGCAUGCUACGGUGAAUACGUUCCCGGGUCU
rnacentral:rRNA from 1 species